rnacentral:rRNA from 1 species
CCUACGGGAGGCAGCAGUGGGGAAUAUUGCACAAUGGCGGAAACCCUGAUGCAGCGACGCCGCGUGAGUGAAGAAGUAUUUCGGUAUUUAAAGCUCUAUCAGCCGGGGAGCAAUAGCAACCUCUGGGUGGCGAGACAGUACCUGUCUAAAAAACCCCGACUAACUACGUGCCAUCAGCCGCGGGAAGACGUAGGGGGCAAGAGUUAUCCGGAUUUACUUGGUGUAAAGGGAGCGUGGACGGCAGCACAAGUCUGAAGUGAAAUGCCGGGGGUUAACCCCGGAACUGCCUUGGAAACUGUGCAGCUAGAGUGCAGGAGAGGUAAGUGGAAGUCCUAGUGUAGCGGUGAAAUGCGUAGAUAUUAGGAGGAACACCAGUGGCGAAGGCGGCUUACUGGACUGUAACUGACGUUGAGGCUCGAAAGCGUGGGGAGCAAACAGGAUUAGAUACCCUAGUAGUC